CAUUCUGAGGGCAGUGAAGAAUGAGGUUCCCGUCUGUAUCUCGAGUCAAAGUUACAGAGUUCACAGUUUCUACUGUCACUGUGUCAGAAUCCUCUUCAACUGUGCUCAUACUCAAAUCUGUAAAACAGAUGGAUCAGCUAUAUCCCUUCCCACAGAAACAAGUCGCCUUCCCUUAGCCACCAGCAUCACUUUCAUGUUAUCCGGACUGUUUCUGCCCCGUGCUCCUACUGCUGCAGCACUGAAAAAGUAACAGCAUUACAUAGUAAGGCUUGUAAGAACACGUGUAUGCUAGCGGUAUGCUGAUUACACCCUAGAUUCUGUGCUUUGUCAACCAGAGAAAUGACAAAACCAGAAUUCAUAGGUUUACCUUUAGGAAAUCAGCCUCUAAAAGCAUUCCCAAUGAAAAGCAGAAAGGAUGAGAUCCCUAUACCCAUUGAGUCAAUUUCAAGGGCAGUUUCUCAACCCAGUUGCCCCUCAUCAGACGGUCAAACAUUUUUGCAAAUAGGUUGAACUAUGCUAGUGGUUCUAUGAACUAUAGACUUAGGUACACGUAACAUGACCCAGGGGGUACAUCAAUACAUUACCAUAAAUAUUACCAGUAUUUUUUCCUUCCUUCAUUAUUUACUAGAGGAGAAGGGAGGAAGAAAGAGAGGAAACAUCCAUUGGUUGCCUGUCUGGAAGUGUCCCCUGACUGGGAGCUGAACCUUUUCCUUUGUGGGAUGACGCCUAACCAAGCAAGCCAUAUUGGACUGGGCACCAUUAUCUGUUCUUUGUAAUAAUUAACACCUGGGAGCAACUGACAUCUUGCUCCUUCCAUAUGUCAUCAAUUUGGCUCAAAUAAACUCUUAUAAAAAUUCAAAAAGAAAAAAACCAAAACACUGCUCUUUACAUACCAUAUUGCAUCUCAAAGUGUUAAAAAUAUGGUAUCUGUGAACAACACUGACUAGGGAUCUGUGUGGAGGGGGUGGGGGUCCCAAACAGGCUAGAAAAGGUCACUUACAAGCAAGCUUUUAAAUGAAACAUGGAACUUUUAAAGUCUGAAAUGAUUGGGUUUUGAAGGUUUCUUUUAACAACCUUCUCAUCCUCAUCCCAAAGAGUCAACCAAAAGUUCAAAAGCACACUCAUUGAGAUUUGAGGUUGAAGGAUGUUUCAGCAGAAACUAAGGAUUAAAAUUCCAAUUUUUGGAGUAUUCUAAUAACACCUCUCCAGGAUGGUUAUUAUUUGAGAAUUGCUGUACGUAAGUCUGCAGUGAAAAAGGUAUAGGUCUUGCUGGAGAAACCUUCAGUCAGCUAUUGUAUUUCAUGUUGUUCUUAUUUGACCCAUCGAUUUUUUUAAAAAGCUGGUUUGUAUAUCUACGGCAGAAGACAGAAAUUUAAUGUUAAAAAAAUACAAACCCUAAAAUCAUUUAUAAAUUUACCAAAACCAGAGUUCACCGUCUUUGGUGUAUGGCUGUGAGAGAGACUAUAGUGGAUAAGCAAUUUUAUGUCCAGUUUUUUAGAAUUCAUUCAUACUGAGAUGUGUGAAGGAAACCAAGAUGGAUAUUUAACUGAAAUUUUCUGUAUGGUUUAAAACUUACACUGCGCAAAAAAAAAUGUAACAUUAUUUACCAGUUACUCUAUCACUGGAUAUUUCCCAAUUUUUCAUUUCCUUAAAACAUACUGAAACACUUAUACACUCUAUUUCCUUAAACAGUAUCAGUGAAAGUUAGAUCAAAGAACAUGAAAAUAAAUGAAGUCUUAAGUCAUAUUACCAUCUAUUCUCCAGAAAGAUGCAUAAAUUUAUAUCUCAAUCACUGAUGUGUAAACUCUACUCCUGGUAGCCUUGCCAGUAUUUUUAUUUAAGAAGACACUGCAAAGCAAAAAACAGCAUGACUGCUCAUUUGAUAGGUGCAAAAUGGUUACUGGUUUAGCAUUUAAUUAAUGUCAUCUUGGGACCCAAGCCAAUCUAAAACUUUGGGGGGAAUAAUAAAGGUGGAUCAGAGAAGACAUGGUGAGAAAGUAGAACACGGAAAAAGGAAUAUGAAAUAGCCAGAUGAAAGAAAGUACAGUUGUUACCCUGCUAUGUGCAAGUAGAGGGUUCCUAUGCAACCUUUAGUAAGCUAAAGUGGUGUAAAAGCAGAAAAACAAUUACCAUUAAUUUACAUGAACAUUCUUUUUAGCAUUCCCAGACCCAGAAAAUAACCACCAAAUCAUACCAAAUACAGGCGUAUCUUGUUUUAUUAUAUUUCGUAGAUACUGCUCUUAAAAAAAAACAAAAACAAAAGAAAACAAGGUUUGUGGUGACUAUGUUGAGCAAUUUGAUCGGUGCCAUUUUUGCCAACAGUAAUAUGUUUACUUCAGGUCAGUGUCGCAUUGUGGUAAUUCUUGAAAUGUUUCAAACCUUUUCAUUAUUAUAUUUGUUAUGGUGAUCUGUAAUCAGUGAUCUCUAAUGUUACUACUGAAUUGUUUCUGGGGUGCCAUCAAGUGUACCAUGAUAAGAGAGCAAACUUAAUCGAUAAAUGUGUGUUCUGACUGUUCCACCACCUGGGUGUUCCCCCCCCUUUUCCCUCUCCUCAGGCCUCCCUAUUCAGGGACACAAUAUUGAAAUGAGGACAAUUACUAACCUCUACAACGGCUGCUAAGUGUUCAAAGGAAAAAAGUGUAGCAGAUUUUGGAAUUUUGGAGACAUAGAAUGAAUACCCAGGACUGGAAUUCCAAUUUACAAUGUUGAACCAUAGGUAAUGGAAAUUGGAGGAAACAUGUAUCCGGAAAUUACCUGUUUUUCUAGGAAACAAGCACUCAGCAGAGUGCAUUCCAAGACUACAGGGGUGCCUCUGGGCCCCAAAAGGCUGGAAGCGGAGUGUCUCUCUGAGUCUUUUGCAGUGAUGGAAAGACAAGACAGCGUUAAUAGGGGACCAAAGUGGUAAUUGGCACAAAUCAGAAAUGUUGAGUCUUUUCACAGGAUUCUAAAGGGAUUAAAAAGAUUAUGAUUUUGGAAAAUAUUUGUGAUAGAAUCUGAAAAAAAUUGUCACAUAUUUCUUUCUACAUAUUUUAAAAUAUUACUGACAAAAGCACUUGCAAGCUAUGGUGUGUGCAGAAAAGGAAUGUUGUCUGAGUAUAAUAGACAUUCCCAUAUUUAUUAUAUUACUAAUAAUGUGAAAUGUCCAUAGAAAUUACCGGAAUUCUGCAUGUUAGUAAUUAGUAACAUAGAGGUUACCUGAACAUCUGGGCAGAAAAUUGAAGUACCCACCAGUAAUUCAAAUAGGACAGAGUCCUGUUCUGCAUUUCUUAGUUGACCAAACAUUUUCAACUUUUGUUCUGUCACAGCUUACAUAGCAAGGGCAGAACUAAUUUGAUCAACAAAGAAUUUCUUCUAGGGGGGCCUUCUUGUGUUAUACCUGGUUAACAUCUGAACAAUCAUUUUCUGUGAAAAAUGACAGCUGGAAGCUUACACAGAGUUCUCUCAGUGACUCUUGGUUUAGGUUUAUUUGGUUCUACAUAAACAUUCCAUGAGAGCUUCUACUAGUGAUGAGGCCUAUUCAUCAAUGAAUUAUUUUGUAAUCAGGCAUUUGCAAUGUAUCAGAAGUACACAGUUGUCCAUCUGCUGUGCCAUUUCCAUUAACAUUAUAAACUGUAGUCCAUUUGGACUCUCUUGAA